rnacentral:tRNA from 1 species
UCUAUGGCGUAGUGGUAACGCGUUGCACUUGUAAUGCAAAGGUGAG